GCUUUUUGACCACUAAGCUAAUGUUCUGUAGAAUUAAACGACAUAUGUACCAAUUUGGCUUGAAUAUCCAACAAGAUCUCUAAGGCAGGCUGGACACACAAUAUUAAACAAUCUCCUGAUAUGUAUCAAAUGUAUAAAACAAUUGUGUUAAUACAUAUACUGAUGGAUACAUACGUAAAAUGUAUCAAAUAUUAUAGCAGUAUUACACAAACAUUUCUGUCAUAAGAAAUAUACGAAACAAAUGUAUUAAAGGUGCACUGAUCAAAUGUAUACAAAAAUUAACUAAACUUCAUAUGUAUCAAAAAAAAUAUUGGUGAUUUUUUACUAUAUUACGUUUGGGAGGAUGUUGUGCAUCUCCCUGCUUCGUCCUGAUCUGUUAUUGACAUGUCUGUGGUGUCAAUUUUUGUAGCAUAAUCUUCUCGAACUUCUCCAAAUUUAUGGGGUCAUUGAGAUAUUUUAAUCUAUUUUAGCAAAAAUCAUUAGAAGGGUGAUCAAACAUACUUGAAACAAAACCCCUAACUUCAUCAAUCGUAGAAUCAAUAAUGUUAUUUUCAGUUUGGGUGAUACCCAAAGUGAAUGAGGAUCAAUCAUUAGAAGCCAUUAAAAAGGAUAAAAAAAAACAUAAUGCCACAAUAAGAUGUAUUUUGAAAAAGAGAAAAUAAUUUACUUAAAAUUAUUUCAAUAAUCAACUUGCCUCUCAAAAAAAUCAGAAAAAAAUUAAAAUAAAAUUAACUUCAACUUGUUGGAUGUGGG
rnacentral:lncRNA from 1 species